rnacentral:rRNA from 1 species
AUAACCGGCGAUUUCCGAAUGGGGAAACCCAGUGUGAUUCGUCACACUAUCAUUAACUGAAUCCAUAGGUUAAUGAGGCGAACCGGGGGAACUGAAACAUCUAAGUACCCCGAGGAAAAGAAAUCAACCGAGAUUCCCCCAGUAGCGGCGAGCGAACGGGGAGCAGCCCAGAGCCUGAAUCAGUGUGUGUGUUAGUGGAAGCGUCUGGAAAGGCGUGCGAUACAGGGUGACAGCCCCGUACACAAAAAUGCACAUACUGUGAGCUCGAUGAGUAGGGCGGGACACGUGGUAUCCUGUCUGAAUAUGGGGGGACCAUCCUCCAAGGCUAAAUACUCCUGACUGACCGAUAGUGAACCAGUACCGUGAGGGAAAGGCGAAAAGAACCCCGGCGAGGGGAGUGAAAAAGAACCUGAAACCGUGUACGUACAAGCAGUGGGAGCACGCUUAGGCGUGUGACUGCGUACCUUUUGUAUAAUGGGUCAGCGACUUAUAUUCUGUAGCAAGGUUAACCGAAUAGGGGAGCCGAAGGGAAACCGAGUCUUAACUGGGCGUUAAGUUGCAGGGUAUAGACCCGAAACCCGGUGAUCUAGCCAUGGGCAGGUUGAAGGUUGGGUAACACUAACUGGAGGACCGAACCGACUAAUGUUGAAAAAUUAGCGGAUGACUUGUGGCUGGGGGUGAAAGGCCAAUCAAACCGGGAGAUAGCUGGUUCUCCCCGAAAGCUAUUUAGGUAGCGCCUCGUGAAUUCAUCUCCGGGGGUAGAGCACUGUUUCGGCAAGGGGGUCAUCCCGACUUACCAACCCGAUGCAAACUGCGAAUACCGGAGAAUGUUAUUACGGGAGACACACGGCGGGUGCUAACGUCCGUCGUGAAGAGGGAAACAACCCAGACCGCCAGCUAAGGUCCCAAAGUCAUGGUUAAGUGGGAAACGAUGUGGGAAGGCCCAGACAGCCAGGAUGUUGGCUUAGAAGCAGCCAUCAUUUAAAGAAAGCGUAAUAGCUCACUGGUCGAGUCGGCCUGCGCGGAAGAUGUAACGGGGCUAAACCAUGCACCGAAGCUGCGGCAGCGACGCUUAUGCGUUGUUGGGUAGGGGAGCGUUCUGUAAGCCUGUGAAGGUGUGCUGUGAGGUAUGCUGGAGGUAUCAGAAGUGCGAAUGCUGACAUAAGUAACGAUAAAGCGGGUGAAAAGCCCGCUCGCCGGAAGACCAAGGGUUCCUGUCCAACGUUAAUCGGGGCAGGGUGAGUCGACCCCUAAGGCGAGGCCGAAAGGCGUAGUCGAUGGGAAACAGGUUAAUAUUCCUGUACUUGGUGUUACUGCGAAGGGGGGACGGAGAAGGCUAUGUUGGCCGGGCGACGGUUGUCCCGGUUUAAGCGUGUAGGCUGGUUUUCCAGGCAAAUCCGGAAAAUCAAGGCCGAGGCGUGAUGACGAGGCACUACGGUGCUGAAGCAACAAAUGCCCUGCUUCCAGGAAAAGCCUCUAAGCAUCAGGUAACAUCAAAUCGUACCCCAAACCGACACAGGUGGUCAGGUAGAGAAUACCAAGGCGCUUGAGAGAACUCGGGUGAAGGAACUAGGCAAAAUGGUGCCGUAACUUCGGGAGAAGGCACGCUGAUACGUAGGUGAAGCGACUUGCUCGUGGAGCUGAAAUCAGUCGAAGAUACCAGCUGGCUGCAACUGUUUAUUAAAAACACAGCACUGUGCAAACACGAAAGUGGACGUAUACGGUGUGACGCCUGCCCGGUGCCGGAAGGUUAAUUGAUGGGGUUAGCGCAAGCGAAGCUCUUGAUCGAAGCCCCGGUAAACGGCGGCCGUAACUAUAACGGUCCUAAGGUAGCGAAAUUCCUUGUCGGGUAAGUUCCGACCUGCACGAAUGGCGUAAUGAUGGCCAGGCUGUCUCCACCCGAGACUCAGUGAAAUUGAACUCGCUGUGAAGAUGCAGUGUACCCGCGGCAAGACGGAAAGACCCCGUGAACCUUUACUAUAGCUUGACACUGAACAUUGAGCCUUGAUGUGUAGGAUAGGUGGGAGGCUUUGAAGUGUGGACGCCAGUCUGCAUGGAGCCGACCUUGAAAUACCACCCUUUAAUGUUUGAUGUUCUAACGUGGACCCGUGAUCCGGGUUGCGGACAGUGUCUGGUGGGUAGUUUGACUGGGGCGGUCUCCUCCUAAAGAGUAACGGAGGAGCACGAAGGUUGGCUAAUCCUGGUCGGACAUCAGGAGGUUAGUGCAAUGGCAUAAGCCAGCUUGACUGCGAGCGUGACGGCGCGAGCAGGUGCGAAAGCAGGUCAUAGUGAUCCGGUGGUUCUGAAUGGAAGGGCCAUCGCUCAACGGAUAAAAGGUACUCCGGGGAUAACAGGCUGAUACCGCCCAAGAGUUCAUAUCGACGGCGGUGUUUGGCACCUCGAUGUCGGCUCAUCACAUCCUGGGGCUGAAGUAGGUCCCAAGGGUAUGGCUGUUCGCCAUUUAAAGUGGUACGCGAGCUGGGUUUAGAACGUCGUGAGACAGUUCGGUCCCUAUCUGCCGUGGGCGCUGGAGAACUGAGGGGGGCUGCUCCUAGUACGAGAGGACCGGAGUGGACGCAUCACUGGUGUUCGGGUUGUCAUGCCAAUGGCACUGCCCGGUAGCUAAAUGCGGAAGAGAUAAGUGCUGAAAGCAUCUAAGCACGAAACUUGCCCCGAGAUGAGUUCUCCCUGACCCUUUAAGGGUCCUGAAGGAACGUUGAAGACGACGACGUUGAUAGGCCGGGUGUGUAAGCGCAGCGAUGCGUUGAGCUAACCGGUACUAAUGAACCGUGAGGCUUAACCUUACAACGCCGAAG